rnacentral:rRNA from 1 species
GACGAACGCUGGCGGCGUGCCUAAUACAUGCAAGUCGAGCGGACUUUCAAGAAGCUUGCUUUUUGAAAGUUAGCGGCGGACGGGUGAGUAACACGUGGGCAACCUGCCUGCAAGACGGGGAUAACUCCGGGAAACCGGGGCUAAUACCGGAUAAUAUCUUCCUUCGCAUGAAGGAAGGUUGAAAGGCGGCGCAAGCUGCCGCUUGCAGAUGGGCCCGCGGCGCAUUAGCUAGUUGGUGAGGUAACGGCUCACCAAGGCGACGAUGCGUAGCCGACCUGAGAGGGUGAUCGGCCACACUGGGACUGAGACACGGCCCAGACUCCUACGGGAGGCAGCAGUAGGGAAUCUUCCGCAAUGGACGAAAGUCUGACGGAGCAACGCCGCGUGAGCGAAGAAGGUCUUCGGAUCGUAAAGCUCUGUUGUCAGGGAAGAACAAGUACCGUUCGAACAGGGCGGUACCUUGACGGUACCUGACCAGAGAGCCACGGCUAACUACGUG